CAGCCUUAAACACUCCCUGAUCCUGCGGUUUCGCUAGCGCUCCACGGCGCUAUUAUCUCGGCGGCUGACGCUGUGACACACAGCUCUGCCGAGUAAUGACCAUUAGCCGUGACUGGAUCCGGUGUCACAUGUGGCUUUUCUUUUCCGGGGGGGGGCUAAGUGGCAACCCCUGACCUGUAAAAGAAAGGAGGAGAAGAAACACAUAUGCGCCGAGCGGAGGAGGCUUCAGAGGAGAGCGCCGCUGAUGGCCGUCUGACAGGUUGUGGAAACACGCCCUUCCACUCCUUAGUGUGACAGAAAAACAAACACAAAGCCACUAAACUCUAGCUGAGCCCCGCGCUAAUGGACAAGUGAUGACUUUUUCCUAAGGAGGCGCACAGGCCCCGGUGGAGACGGGAGACAAGAGGGGGGGGAGACCAGGCCAAUGGGAGAGCCAGACCCGAACCUGACACUGUUGUGCUUUGGGUUUCUGGUCCACUGGGCCGAGUGAGUCACCCUCUGAGUGCUGAACCACUUAAGUCUUCCUCGUCUCGCGACUUGCAACAUCACGGCCCGGGACGGGAGGUGCGGCCUCGAUUAGCAAGAACGACACCUGUUCUACAUUUUGACUUGAAGCGCUAACUGAGAGUUUACUAAAUAAUCCCAGAUUAUUACCACAUGGCUCUGGCUUUUUUUGUAGAUUUGGCCCGACGAGCUACAACAAAACAGCAGGGAGACGCCACCGACUGCAGCACAACAUCUACGCUCGAAUAUCCACUUCUUGUGCUCAGUGCGAGGCCAACAAGAGUCUCAAUGUGGCAGUUUGACAGACUUUACAGUUCAUGUCACACGCAGAAGAGGCCGCACGGCUCGCUAACUCCUCGCCCGUGUGCUUCUCUCUGUACGACAAAGAGCAUCUGUUUCCUCUGGUGGCACCGGCGAUGGAAAACAAUCUCAUUCUCACUUCUUGAACGCAGUUUUCAGUUUCUCACCAGCUCAACUCCCGAUGCGCAUGACCUCAGCGCACACCGCACACGGCAGAAAAUAAACACACUCCAACACC